rnacentral:rRNA from 1 species
CGGGUGAGUAAUGUCUGGGGAUCUGCCUGAUGGCGGGGGAUAACUACUGGAAACGGUAGCUAAUACCGCAUAAUGUCUACGGACCAAAGCGGGGGACCUCCGGGCCUCGCGCCAUCAGAUGAACCCAUAUGGGAUUAGCUAGUAGGUGAGGUAACGGCUUACCUAGGCGACGAUCCCUAGCUGGUCUGAGAGGAUGAUCAGCCACACUGGGACUGAGACACGGUCCAG